rnacentral:rRNA from 1 species
CCUUCCCUAUAGUAGAGGAUAGCCCGGCGAAAGUCGGAUUAAUACUCUAUGUUGUAUUUAGAGGACAUCUGAAGAUACCAAAGGUUUACCGCUAUAGGAUGGGGAUGCGUCUGAUUAGGUUGUUGGCGGGGUAACGGCCCACCAAGCCAACGAUCAGUAGGGGUUCUGAGAGGAAGGUCCCCCACAUUGGAACUGAGACACGGUCCAAACUCCUACGGGAGGCAGCAGUGAGGAAUAUUGGUCAAUGGACGAGAGUCUGAACCAGCCAAGUAGCGUGCAGGAUGACGGCCCUAUGGGUUGUAAACUGCUUUUAUAUGGGGAUAAAGUGAGGGACGUGUCCCUUUUUGUAGGUACCGUAUGAAUAAGGACCGGCUAAUUCCGUGCCAGCAGCUGC